CAAAUACAAACGCAAUUCUUGGUAAACAAUUUGAAGAUGUGAAACAAAUUUACACACUUGGGAAAGAAUUAGGAAGAGGACAAUUUGGUGUGACUUAUCUUUGUACUGAGAAUUCAACUGGAUUGAAAUAUGCUUGCAAAUCAAUUUCCAAGAGGAAACUUGUUAGUAAAUCUGAUAAAGAAGAUAUAAAGAGGGAGAUUCAAAUCAUGCAACAUAUGAGUGGACAACCAAAUAUUGUUGAGUUUAAAGGUGCUUAUGAGGAUAAAAAUUCAGUUCAUGUUGUAAUGGAACUUUGUGCUGGUGGUGAACUUUUUGACAGGAUUAUUGCUAAGGGAAAGUAUAGUGAAAGAGCUGCAGCUUCAAUUUGUAGACAAAUUGUUAAUGUUGUUCAUAUUUGUCAUUUUAUGGGUGUGAUGCAUAGAGAUUUGAAACCAGAAAAUUUCUUGUUGUCUAGUAAGGAUGAUAAGGCAACUAUCAAGGCCACUGAUUUCGGUUUGUCGGUUUUCAUCGAAGAAGGUAUAAUUUUUUAUUCAUUCAUUCAUUUGGGAAUUAUAGAAUGUGAAGUAUGUGAACUGUAGCAUAAUCUUGAAAUUUUAAUUUAGCUGCAAUGCAUUGCCAAUAAUUGUCAUCAGUAUACCCUGUUUGUCAACAGUUACGGUUAAACAAAUUACAGUAUUUAUGCUUUUUUUUUUUUCCUUCUUUUUCGCUUCGUAAACAAUUUUUAUCAUCCACUUUGUUCCAUGAUCUUUAGUACAAUGGUUAUGCUGUGUUAUGAACAUGGAAAGUAAUUUACUAUAAUUUAUCCUCCGUUGCACCUAAUGCAUUGUAGUGUUGCAAUGUGGAUUCUCCGGUUGUCACAGAAACACGGAAAUUGCAGCGCUGUAAUUGCGGAUCGCAAUAUUGCAGCUGCAUCAUGUGAUGUAGUAGGGGCAUGCACAUUGAAUUAAUGAAAAAUUACGCAUCAAUCUUAGGGAGAUAAAGAAAAUGAAUGACAUCGAACUUAGGGAAAUAAAGAAAGUCAAUGCUGCCAUCAUUUUCCAUUCAUUUUCACUGUCAGAAAUGAUAUGAAGAUGGGAAUGAAGUUGAUAGAUUAAAUGGAUUUGUAUGGCCAUCCUAAUUAAGAACUUAGGAAGACUAACAUGACAUGAUUGAUCAAAUAAACCAGACGGCAGAAACUGUCAUUCCAUUUAUUUGUAUUAUCUGGUUUCAUAAAAUUCUUGAACUUUAAAGUGAUUUGCAAUUUGCUUGUUUUAGUUCCAUGACAAUCCAUGUAGAAAUUCUCAUAUGUGAUUUUUCUGCAACCAUAUGACACACAUAACAUAUGUAGUAUGUUGGCAACUACUUGUCUUUUGAUCAGAGGAUUUAUCAUAAUAAAGAGCAGGAUUGUCUUCCUUUUAGAAUAUGUACACUUAAACUUUUCUGAUUAUUUAUUCGCAGGAAAGGUAUAUCGGGAUAUAGUCGGCAGUGCUUAUUAUGUUGCGCCAGAAGUUCUACGCCGUAAAUAUGGGAAGGAAACAGAUAUAUGGAGUGCAGGAGUUAUAUUGUACAUCUUACUUUGUGGUGUGCCUCCAUUUUGGGCAGGUAAAAUCAACUGGUUCAUUAGUCGUUUCAUUAUGAAAUGAUAAUUACUUGUCUAGGCUUGACUGACUUUUACCUAAAAUACUUGUUCUAGAGACGGAAAAGGGAAUAUUUGAUGCCAUAUUGCAAGGUCAUAUUGACUUUGAAAGUCGUCCAUGGCCAAGUAUAUCAAACAGUGCUAAGGAUCUUGUUAGUAGGAUGCUUAUGCAAGAUCCAAAGAAACGUAUCACAGCUUCUCAGGUUCUAGGUAGGUAACUUUUAGUCUGUUCUCGCCUCAUCAAAUACUUGAAAAUUUUAAAGCAGUGUAUGGAACUAUGUAUAAUAUUUUCAAUUGCAAUUACUAUUGAUUUUUUUAUUUAUUUAUAAUCGCAAACGUUUGUGUUACUAUCGACUGACAACAUCGUUGCAUUAUCCUUAUGAAUUUUCAUUGGCUAAUGUUUUGUAAGUUUUUUACUAAUUGACUCAUAUGUAUUGUAUGGAUUAUUAGAUCAUCCUUGGCUUAAAGAAGGUGGAAAUGCUUCUGACAAACCAAUAGACAGUGCAGUCCUUUCCAGAAUGAAGCAAUUCAGAGCGAUGAAUAAACUAAAAAAACUCGCCCUCAAGGUUAGUCCAGUCACUAUCUAAAUGAAGAGGAGAGUGUUGUUUUAUACUUAUUUUAUUAAAUGACAUAUUGUUACUGCUUUCUAUGUGGAUCAACAGCUAAAAAUUAUUAAAAGCUAAUUUUAAGACAAACUAUGUUUAGAUAAACAACUUAUUAAACACUUAUAGCAUAAGCGCUUAUCAUAUAAGGACUUAUGUAUAAGCUAUUUCUAUACACGAAAAGAUGAAAUAAAAUCACAUUAUUUUCAUAUAAGCUAGUAUAAGUUGUUUUCAUAAGCUAUCCCAGAGAGCUUAUGGAAGUAAGAUGAAAACUAAUUAUGAACAUGUCAUAAGCUACUUCCAUAAGCUCUCCUAAACAGUAUCACAAGUGUUUAUGUCAGUAAAUAAACUCAAAUAAGCCUCUAAACAGGCCUAAUGACUGUUUCAGUCAAUAAAUUUACACUGAGAUAUAAAAAUAUUCACCUAUUGUUUCUUUUAGGUUAUUGCUGAGAAUCUUUCUUCAGAAGAGAUCCAAGGUUUGAAGGCAAUGUUUACGAACAUGGACACUGACAAAAGUGGUACAAUCACAUAUGAGGAAUUAAGGGCAGGAUUGCAAAGACUCGGCUCAAAGCUUACUGAAGCGGAAGUGCGGCAGCUUAUGGAAGCUGUAAGCCAUUACUGAUUAACAAGAUUUGUUGUGUAAUCUGUGUGUUAAUUCCUCUAAAACCAUAAUCCUUUGCUUAAAUAUAGGCUGAUGUAGAUGGAAAUGGAACAAUUGACUACAUAGAAUUCAUCACCGCAACAAUGCAUAGACACAGGUUAGAAAGAGAUGAGCAUCUUUACAAGGCCUUCCAAUAUUUUGAUAAAGACAAUAGUGGGUAAGCAUUUCUAUCUUCAAUUACUAUUUCUUCAAUCUGUUAUAUUUUCAACUUUUAACUUAGAAUUUGUUCUAUAGUUUAUUGCCAUGUCUGUCAACUAUGUUUCAUGUUUGUUUUUUUUAAAAAGUUUUAAUAAUAAAACAAGGAUCAAUUACAAGAAACCUUUUUCUCCCUAGAUAAACAAGUACAUUAAUUACAGACUCAUCAUCAAUUUAAUGAACAUAUAUCCUUGUUUUUGUUUGAUUCCAUCACAGUUUUAUUACAAGAGAUGAACUGGAAACAGCCAUGAAAGAAUAUGGUAUGGGCGACGAAGAAACAAUCAGGGAAAUUAUAUCGGAAGUUGAUACGGAUAAUGUAAGUCUAUGUUUCUUUUACCUGUAUUUGCUUUAGUAUAAAAUUGGUGCAAUCUGUAAACCUCAAAUCAGAGAUGUUGGAUAAAGAUUGGACGUCUCACAUUCUUACCUCGCAAAUCAGAUUCAAAGCACUAAUUUGAAAUAUGAGCCGUCUAAUCUUUCAUCCAUUAGCUCCGAUUGCUAGCUGCACAAUUUUUUAGCUACAUCAAAUCCAAGAUCGGUUUUUAAUGACUUGCUAUGAUGUUGUGGUAUCUCAGGAUGGUAGAAUUAACUAUGAAGAAUUUUGUACAAUGAUGAGGAGUGGAGUCCAACAACAAGGCAAGCUAUUCUAAAUAAAGCACAAAAUUAUGUCACUAGUUUGGGUACCUACAACCAAGACCAGCAAGUGAAAAAUAUUAAACUUCUUUAGUUUGUGAGAAAGGGCUUCCAAAUUUUUUUUUAAAUCAUAUGAUAAGCAUGUAAAGAUUCUAAUAUACAUUUGUGGUAGUGAAAAAUUAAAAUGCUCUGCUUGAGUGGUUGUCUUAUAUGCUAAGAGCACAUGUUAGCAUUUGCCUAAUAUCCAUAUGUAACUUUUUUUAAAAAAGAGUAUUCGUAUAUGCAAUAUUUAUACACCAUUCUAUGUUGGUAAACAAUUUAAAGUGUUUUAUUGUGCUAAUGGUAAUAAUUAAACAAUAUUUAUCCGACUCAAAAGAAUUAGUUUUGUGGUUGUACACAGAGGAUAUCCGAUUCAAAAAAAAAAAAUAAUGUUAAAACAUGAAUGAAGUUUUUUUCUUUUUGACUGAAACAUUAAUAAAGUUGUUAGGUUAAAUGAUUUUUGUUCUUUUUCUACACAUGGAUCAAAUGGGCUAGUGUAGGAGUAGUGGAUCUACCUGAGAAAAAAAUGAAGCUUCUCUUGGAUUCUCCUGUAAUGAUAUUAAUGUCCUACCACAGCAUUGUUUUAUACAACCUCAAACAUUUUAAAAACAUAUUCUGACAUAUGAAUCCAAAUCUAACAUUUCACUCGGUUCAAGGUUGCCUAUUCUUUCCUUUUUUGUUAAUUCCAUUCAUACUUCAAACUUUUUCUCUUGGCCACCUUAAAUUAAUCACAAAUUUUGAUCCCUUCCUCAGAAACCCUUCUAUAGCAAGUUUCAUUCUUUGGUUUCUUCACACCCAAGAAAAAAAUAAAAAACUUUCUUCACACUGCAUAUUUUUGUUCAUUUUUUGAUCCAAAGCUUUGAUUUUUAGUUAUAAAUCUGCAUAAUUUUGUUGAAUUUUAUCUGUUUUUUUUCUUUCCCUUUUCACACUUUUACUUGAUCUUUUUGAAGCUUUGAUCUUGCAUCUGAUAAAAAUCCCAUCCUUCUGAUUUUGUGCUAUAAUCAUGGGUGUUUGUCUGAGCAGAAAAGAAUUAGAACCAAAACAUAGACAUGUUGGUGUUUCUGGUAAGCACAAUCAAAAUAAAAAUCCCAAUCACAAUCACUGCUACGAUCAUAAUAACAAGAAUCAUGAACCAUUUGUGAAGCAAUCAAAACCCCCUUUUCAACAACCUUACCAAUUACCAGAUAAACAUGCACCAAGUCCAAAACCAACUGUUAAAAGGUCAGAUACAAACACAAUUCCAGGUAAACAAUUUGAAGAUGUGAAACAAAUUUACACACUUGGGAAAGAAUUAGGAAGAGGACAAUUUGGCGUGACUUACCUUUGUACUGAGAAUUCAACUGGAUUGAAAUAUGCUUGCAAAUCAAUUUCUAAGAGGAAUCUUGUUAGUGAACCUGAUAAGGAAGAAAUAAAGAGGGAGAUUCAAAU
rnacentral:lncRNA from 1 species